CGCCCGGGGCCCUCCGCGGCCUCUCUAGGAAACUGGGAGGCCCAACGUCUCUGCUUCUCUCCGGCUCCGGUGCGGCGGGCGGCGGGGCUUGUCCAACAUCCCUCACCUCCCUCAGUUGGACAUUUCCCUUCCACGCUCGGAUGCCCAGCCGCGCCUGUUUUCUUGCAUCCCUCCUGUCGUGUCUGCGGGGCUGCCCUGAAGGCCUCUUUCCCUCCAGGGAAGAAAGGGAUCCAAAGCUAGGGGUGAAAAUAGGGCCAGCAGUAUCUAGCAGACUGGUCCUGGCCAGGAGAAGGGGUUAAGGGAGCCACUCAUUCUUCGCCUGGGUACACUUCAAAGAGGGGAACCAGAUCCUACGGGAAGCUAGGUGCCAGAACUCCUGCCUUUCCAAGACGAGCUCAUCCCCAUCAUCACCAUACCCAGGAAUACUUGUUCAUAGCCAGCUCAGAGGUGCACCAUACUUUAGCUUCCCACGGCCUUCACUCGUUUUCUCCUGUGGGUGAAUUCUAACUAGGCUCGCCUGUCACCAAAGAUGGAAACAGAGAAUAGAUCCUGAACACCAGGAAGAUGGUGACAAGGUGAUAGAGAAACAGAUGGCACAUUCAAACAAGGGCCCUGAAGUGAUCCUCCUCCUGUUCACUGACACCCGUUGCCAAGAGAGAGAGAGAAAAAGAGAGAGAGAGAGAAGCAGGAAGAGAGGAGAGGGUGCUGGCCUUAUUAGAGAAAGAAUGGUCCCACUCUGUUGCCCAGGUUGGAGUGCAGUGGUACAAUCACACAGCUCACUGCAGCCUUGACCUCCCAGGCUCAAGCGAUCCUCCCACCUCAGCCCCUGAGUAGCCGGGACUACCGGUGCAAGCCACUACACCCGGCUAAUUUUUUUGUAUUUUUGUAGACACAAGGUUUUGCUAUAUUGCCCUGGCUGGUCUCAAACUGCUGGACUCAACAAUCCACCUGCCUCAGCCUCCCAAAAUACUGGGAUUACAGGCAUGAGCCACCACGCCAGGCCAAGACUUUAUAUUGAGGUUCACUUUUGGUGUUAUACAUUCUAUGGUUUUUGACAAAUGUAUAAAUACAUGUAUCCACAUACAUGUAUUCUGUGUCAUAUGGAAUAGUUUCCAGAAUAGUGUGGUGGUGCACACCUGUAGUCUCAGCUACUUGGGAGGCUGAGGCAGGAGGAUGGUCUUGAUCAUUAUAACUUUAUAGUAAGGCUUAAAGUCCAGUAAAGUCAGUCCUCUGACUUUGUUCUUCUACUUCAACACUGAGUUGACUACUCUGGGUCUUUUGCCCUCCAUGUAAACUUUGGAAUCAGUUUACUGAUAACCAUAAAAUAGUAUUAUACAGAAUAGUUUCACUGCCCUAAAAAUCCUCUGUGCUCUCCUUAUUCAUCCCUCCCUCCUCCCUGUGGCAACCACUGAUCUUUUUACCAUAGUUUUGCCUUUUCCAGAAGGUAAUACAGUUGAAAUCAUACAGUAUGCAGUCUUUUCAGAUUGACCUUUCCUGUGUCUUUUCUUUCUUUUUUUUUUUUUUUUUUUUUUUUGAGAGACAGAGUCUUGUUCUGUUGUCCAGGCUGGAGUGCAGUAGCACAAUCAUAGCUCACUGCCACCUCAAUCUUCUGGACUCAAGCAAUCCUCCUGUCUUGGCCUCCUGAGUAGCUAGGACUACAGGCAUAUGCCACCACACCCAGCUAAUUUUAUUUUUUUAUUUUUAAUAGAGACGAGAUCUCACUAUGUUGCCCAGGCUGGGCUCCAUGUCUUUUCAUUACUUGAUAACUCAUUUCUUUUUAGCAGUGAAUAAUAUUCCAUUGCCUGAUAUACCACAGUUUAUUUAACCACUUAGCCUCUGAAAGAUACCUUGGUUGCUUCCAACUUUUGUCAGUUAUGAAUAAAGCUGCUAUAAACA